rnacentral:lncRNA from 1 species
UGUGGUUUUUGGUUGGAAGCAUUGCCGAGGUAAGGGCACCUUUUUUAUUUCCGUAUUUAAAUUCCGUCGAUAGCAUUAGGGUAUGCUUUCUUGUUGUGCUUGGUUGCUUGCUUGUUGUGCUCGGUUGGACUUUUGUGCUUAUUGUGCUUUCUUACAUAUAAUUUGGUUUGGAAUAUAUGUAAUGUGUUGAUAUGGCAUAGAUAGGGGUAUCGUAUGCUCAUGCACUCAUAGUACGUGGUUGCGCAAGUGGACCGCGGGGUGUGACGAUCCUGUGACAGGGUGUCCACCUUAAUCCUUCGGGAUCUUUAUUGAGUCCCAAUACGUGACGAUCCUGUGACGGGGUGUCGCAGAGUGUGAUGAUCCUGUGACGGGGUAUCCACUCUAAUUCUUGAGAUUGUGUUGAUGAUAGUAGAGGCGACGAUCCUGUGACGGGGUGUUGCUAGAAACCUACGACUCUCCUUUAUGAGAGGUUUUUCCGGAAUUCAUGCAUGUAACGAUCCUGUGACGGGGUGUUACCGUGGCGAUCCUGUGACGGGGUGCCACACUCA